rnacentral:rRNA from 1 species
UCCGUAGCGGCACCUGCGGAUAUGCAUAUAAAUACGCGGAGGAAGCUUCCAACAGGCUGAAGAAACAAACAACAAUUAAAACUUUCAACAACGGAUCUCUUGGUUCUGGGAUCGAUGAAGAACGCAGCGAAAUGCGAUAAGUAGUGUGAAUUGCAGAAUUCAGUGAAUCAUCGAAUCUUUGAACGCACAUUGCGCCCCUUUGGUAUUCCUUAGGGCAUGCCUGUUCGAGCGUCAUUUAAACCUUCAAGCUAAGCUUGGUGUUGGGUGACUGUCCGCAUUCACGGCGGACUCGCCUUCAAAAUUAUUGGCGGCCGGUACAUUGGCUUUCGAGCGCAGCAGAAAACGCGAACUCGGGCCCCGUCGUAAUUGGCUCCCAGAAGCUAUCUUUCACAAUUUUUGACCUCGGGAUCAGGGUAGGGCAUACCCGACUGAAACUUAAGCCAUAUCAAUAACCCUGAA